UGAUCAUUGUCUUAGGCGC
rnacentral:siRNA from 1 species